UACAGAGGUGGCAAGCGUUGUUCGGAAUUACUGGGCGUAAAGGGCGCGUAGGCGGCCUUCUAAGUCAGACGUGAAAUCCCCCGGCUUAACCUGGGAACUGCGUCUGAUACUGGGAGGCUUGAGUAUGGGAGAGGGAUGUAGAAUUCCAGGUGUAGCGGUGAAAUGCGUAGAUAUCGGGAGGAACACCAGUGGCGAAGGCGGCCUUCUGGACCAGUACUGACGCUGAGGCACGAAAGCGUGGGGAGCAAACAGG
rnacentral:rRNA from 1 species